rnacentral:rRNA from 1 species
AUUGAACGCUGGCGGCAGGCCUAACACAUGCAAGUCGAGCGGAGCGGCGGACGGGUGAGUAAUGCCUAGGAAUCUGCAUGGUAGUGGGGGAUAACGUCCGGUAACGGGCGCUAUUCCCGCUUCCUAUCAGUUGAGCCUAGGUCGGAUUAGCGUUUUGGUGGGGUAAAGGCCCACCAAGGCGACGAUCCGUAACUGGUCCGAGAGGAUGAUCAGUCACACUGGGACGGAGACAAGGGCCAGACUCCUACGGGAGGCAGCAGUGGGGAAUAUUGGACAAUGGGCGAAAGCCUGAUCCAGCCAUGCCGCGUGUGUGAAGAAGGUCUUCGGAUUGUAAAGCACUUUAAGUUGGGAGGCGUUACCAACAGAAUAAGCACCGGCUAACUCCGUGCCAGCAGCCGCGGUAAUUC